AUGUCCGUAGCUUAAUUGGUAGAGUCUUAAAUUUCGACUUUAAAGGUUGUGGGUUCAAAUCCUACCGGGCAUA
rnacentral:tRNA from 1 species